rnacentral:sRNA from 1 species
CAGUGAAAAUGUAGAAAGAUGGGAGCACCAUGUGAGCUUAAGGCUCCCCUGACCAGCCCCACCACAUGGCCCAGCCUCCUAGCACAGCAGCGCUGACCUCGGUGCAGUCUGAGGAUUGGAAUCCACCAUGAGAUGAUGUGAGAGCUGUGUGCCCCAGGAUCAACUUUUUCUCCAACUUGGCCAUCAGCCAGCGAGUUGCUAAGGACCUGAGUCAGCACUCACGUUGCCUGUUCACACUCCGCUUGAAAGUCCAGAAGGCAUGAAGAGAUACAGCAGGGUGCAUCCGGAGGGAGCUGUGGCCUUGCAACACCACUGGCAACAGGGCCGGGGCUCCCGGUGAAGGUGUCAGGAAGUGGAAAAGGCUGGACUUUGUCUCCUCUUUGCCUGCUGAUGCUAUGUGGUCGUGGCACGUUUUGUUGGGGGUUUCUGUAGUCUUGUUUGGAUCGACUCCUAGAGGCUGGUUUAGAACAGGCCCAUGAGGGAGCUG